rnacentral:rRNA from 1 species
GAUGAACGCUGGCGGCGUGCCUAAUACAUGCAAGUCGAGCGAUCAGACGAGUAGCUUUCUCCUGUGACUUUAGCGGCGGACGGGUGAGUAGCACGUGGUUAACCUCCUUAUACGACUUUGAUAACUUCGGCAUGCCGGAGCUACUACUGUGUAAUAUUUUGGACCUCUUGCUUCAUUGGUCUAAGACGGUUUUUCUUUCACUUAUUGAUGGAUCCGCGCCGCAUUAGCUAGUUGGUGAGGUGACGGCUUACCAAGGCAACGAUGCGUAGCCGACCUGAGAGGGUGGUCGGCCACAAUGGAACUGAGAAAAGGUCCAGAAUACUACGGGAGGCAGCAGUAGGGAAGAAUCAGCAAUGGGCGAAAGAAUGACGGAGCAACGCCGCGUGAGUGAUGAAGGUCUUCGGAUCGUAAAAAUCUGUUAUUAGGGAAGAACAAAUGUGGAAGUAACUAUGCACGUCUUGACGGUACCUAAUCAGAAAGCCACGGCUAACUACGUG